GUUUUUUUAGAAAUAAAUUUAAUUUACAAAUUUUUAAUUUUUUUUUUAUUUAUUUAAUUAAAAAAUUUAUUAAUUUGAAUAUCUUGAGGGAUAAGCUUUAAGAUAAAUUAUUAAAAAUUAAUAUUUAUUAUAUAAAAUGUAUGCUUAGAAUUAGCAAUCAUUUAUGAUUUUGUUAUAAAUUAUUUUAUAAUUUAUAAUAUUUAUUAAUAUUUUAAUUUUUUAUAAAAAUAUUUUUAUUAAUUUUUAAUAAAAAGUGAUAAUGAUUAAAUUAGUAUAUUUUAUUGUUUAAAUAAUUUUAUAAGAUAAGUUUAUAUAAAGAACUCGGCAAAUAAUAUACUCGCCUGUUUAACAAAAACAUGUCUUUUUGAGUUAAUUUUAAAGUCUAACCUGCCCACUGAAUAUUUGAAUGGCCGCAGUAUUUUAACUGUGCAAAGGUAGCAUAAUCAUUAGUCUUUUAAUUGAAGGCUGGUAUGAAUGGUUGGACGAAGUAUAAACUGUUUCAUAUAAAUUUAUAAUAGAAUUUUAUAUUUUAGUUAAAAAGCUAAAAUAUUAUUAAAAGACGAGAAGACCCUAUAAAUCUUUAUAUUUAUUUUUAUUUAAAUUUUUUGGAUAUAUUUUAUUUUUAUAAUUAUAAAUAUUUUAUUGGGGUGAUAUUAAAAUUUAAUAAACUUUUAAUUAUAAAAAUUCAUUAAUUUAUGAUUUAUUGAUCCAUUAAUAUUGAUUAUAAGAUUAAGUUACUUUAGGGAUAACAGCGUAAUUUUUUUAGAGAGUUCUUAUUGAUAAAAAAGUUUGCGACCUCGAUGUUGGAUUAAGAUAUAUUUUUAGGUGUAGCUGCUUAAAUAUU
rnacentral:rRNA from 1 species